rnacentral:rRNA from 1 species
AUGGAACAGGGGGCAGCGCGGCAAGACGAGGCACGCAAGGAGCGCGAGGUGCCGCCGCCGGUCCCUUUCCCCAGGGAAAACUUGGAGAGAGAUCUGAAGCUACCCUCUCGUGUGGUUUCUUUGUUCUUUGGCGGUGAUAUCUCAACAACAGCACAGUCAUUCGAGAAAUGGGUGUCAUUGGUACGUUUGCGGAGCGGGACAUUUCGCCCAUCUGGGUUCCCACGUCGCAAUUCAAGGAUUGAAGUGAUGCCAAGUGGAAGCUUCUCACUUUUUGGCAGCACAGACUUAAGGGAGGAAGUGGUUAAAGCAGAAGCGGCGAGCAGAGAAAAGAAUCCUACGCUUGAUCAGCCUCCUGAAAUAAGUUUGUGGGAGAGGCUUGGGAAUGCUUCUGCAUUGGACAUUGAAUCAUCUGGCUUUUCAUGGAAUAUGCUGUCAUCUCUGCACCAUACAGAACACAGUAGUAGUUCAGAACACUCUGAAGAUGAGAUGACUAAAGCUCUUGAGAUGACUGUGAACUCUGGUGGCGUUGUAUUCUUUGCUCUAUUUAGUGCGGGUAACAAUGGUUUACCAAAAGAAGAAGCAGCUGUUAUAAAGUUUGCAGCGUCAAAGAUGGCAACACAGGCAGAACUUUUGGGAUAUGAAUUUGCACGGUUGCUUGGAGUCCAGACACCACAAGCUAGGAUAGUGCAUAAUUCUAGUCUGGAGUGGCAGGGGAUAAAACAUGCCGCAGAAAAAGCACGAGAAAUAGCGGUUUCAAAUAAUGAUGAGAUUGGUGAGAUGACUUGCUCAGAAUUGUUGGAAGCUCUUGAGCUAAGCCGAUGUCUUCUUCUAAUGAGUUAUUUUCAUGGCUCACCCCUGCUAGAGAGUCCAAAGGCAUUCAGUUCACGGCAAGCUGCGCGUAUUACUUCUUCAUCCCUUGGAAGGGUCUUGAUGCUAGAUCUGAUACUCAGGAAUGAGGAUAGGCUCCCAUGCCGCCAGCUUGGCUGGCGUGGCAAUCCCGCAAACUUGAUGAUUUCGGAUAGAUCAUCCUUGCCCAGUAUGGACAGAUUUGAGGAGUCUAAGGGCACUUUGGAAAACUCCAACCCACUGUUUUCUAAUAUUUUCCAAAAAGAAAAACAGUUCCACUCUGCAAACGGAAGAUUAGAUUCUCCGGAGGUGGACCUCAUGUCAGGAAAAGCAGAUGCAUUGAGAAGUGUACAAGAAAAUGCUGAAAGUGCGAGCGGGACUUUCCACAUUGUAGCAAUUGACACUGGGGUGCCCCGUCGCCCACCUGCAGGGAGACGUGUCAAAGAUCAUGAACGGUAUCCCAAAGUUGUAGAACUCAUUUUGAAUAACUCGGACCACUCCGCGAAUAUCUUAUAUGAAAUUUCCGGUGGUAAGCUUGGGAUUCCUGGACCUGAUGAGGCAAUCACUUCCACUGAUUCUUGCUGCUCUCUUUCUGAUGAAGACAAUGCUGCUGCGAUUCAUGAAUUCCGAGUGGCAUUUCGUGCAGCUCUUAGGGAUCUGGAGGGUUUCCAUCUAUUUCUUCUCCAGCUAUACCAAAAAUUGGAUGGUGUUCUGCGAGUUUUCUCGUCCAUAAUUACUAAAAGCUCUGAGGAAUCUGACCAUAAUGAUAUUGCAAUUUCUGAUUUCCCAUCUCCGGGAGCCAGCUACAGUACCCCUUGUCCACCUAAUAAGCACGUGAACAGUGACCCUCAUAGUGACUCUGGAACGCAAAAAAAUGCCACAAAGACAUCUUCUGCGGGAUCCCGCGGAAGCUCAGAUUCUCCUAUGUCCAGGGACAGUUGGAGUGGUAAACACUUGAAGGGGAGUGCAGAUGCUCCCCGAAGUAGAAUGACAAUGAGACUUCGUGAUUUUUAUAAGACUCCGAAGGUUGAUGUCGAUCCUGAAUUGCUCAAGGAGAUAGAACAAUGGAAUGAAGCGUUUAAGACCGACGUGAUCAGAUUUUGUCAGGAGAACAAUUUUCAUUCUGGAUUCUUUGAUGGAACUGAGAACAACAUGGCGGCAGAUGCCUACGAGUUAAAGGUGCGCCUUGAACACAUCAUUGAAAGGACAUCGUUGGUCUCUGAUGCUGCAAAUACUGAGCGACCUUCUCUCGUGGUCAACAACUUAUUUAUAGGUGGGGCUCUCGCUGCAAGGUCUAAGUACACCCUCCAGCAUUUGGGCAUUACCCAUAUACUAUGUUUGUGUUCGAAUGAGAUUGGUCAAUCUGAUACCCAGUUUCCUGAUCUUUUUCAGUACAAGAACUUUUCAAUUAGUGAUGAUGAUGAUGCAAACAUCAGCGAUCUUUUUGAAGAAGCAUCAGAUUUUAUUGACCAGGUCGACCGUGUUGGGGGUAAGGUCCUCAUCCAUUGCUUUGAAGGGAAAAGCCGGAGCGCCACGGUCGUCCUUGCCUACUUGAUGCUCAGAAAGGGCUUCACGCUUGCGAAGGCCUGGAACUUACUAAAGAAAGUACACCGCCGCGCGCAACCGAACGACGGCUUCGCCAAGGCCCUGCUAGCUCUGGACAAGAAACUGCACGGCAAGGCGUCGAUGGACUGGCAGCAGAAGCGGCCUGAGAUGAAGGUGUGCCCGAUAUGCGGCAAGAACGUGGGGCUGAGCACCAGCUCGCUGAAGCUGCACCUGCAGAAGGCGCACAGGCGGCUGUCGCAGGGCAGCGUGGACAGCGCCAUGACCAUGGAGAUCCAGAAGUCGAUCGAGUCGCUCCGGAUCAGCCGCGGCGGGAGCCUCAGCCCUUCGCAGAAGCUGGCCAAGGCGUUCGCUGACGAGCUCACCUUCUGA